rnacentral:rRNA from 1 species
AGUGAACGCUGGCGGUAGGUCUAACACAUGCAAGUCGAACGGCAGCACAGUAAGAGCUUGCUCUUACGGGUGGCGAGUGGCGGACGGGUGAGGAAUACAUCGGAAUCUACUUUUUCGUGGGGGAUAACGUAGGGAAACUUACGCUAGUACCGCAUACGACCUACGGGUGAAAGCAGGGGAUCUUCGGACCUUGCGCGAUUGAAUGAGCCGAUGUCGGAUUAGCUAGUUGGCGGGGUAAAGGCCCACCAAGGCGACGAUCCGUAGCUGGUCUGAGAGGAUGAUCAGCCACACUGGAACUGAGACACGGUCCAGACUCCUACGGGAGGCAGCAGUGGGGAAUAUUGGACAAUGGGCGCAAGCCUGAUCCAGCCAUACCGCGUGGGUGAAGAAGGCCUUCGGGUUGUAAAGCCCUUUUGUUGGGAAAGAAAAGCAGCAGGUUAAUACCCCGCUGUUCUGACGGUACCCAAAGAAUAAGCACCGGCUAACUUCGUG